rnacentral:rRNA from 1 species
GUGCCAGCCGCCGCGGUAAUACCGGCAGCCCAAGUGAUGGCCGCUGUUAUUGGGCCUAAAGCGUCCGUAGCUGGCCGCACAAGUCCGUCGGGAAAUCCGCCCGCUCAACGGGCGGCCGUCCGGCGGAACCUGUGUGGCUUGGGACCGGGAGGCCUGAGGGGUACGAUCGGGGUAGGAGUGAAAUCCUGUAAUCCCGCUCGGACCGCCGAUGGGGAAACCACGUUGAGAGACCGGACCCGACAGUGAGGGACGAAAGCCAGGGUCUCGAACCGGAUUAGAAACCCUUGUAGUCC